rnacentral:rRNA from 1 species
AUUGAACGCUGGCGGCAGGCCUAACACAUGCAAGUCGAGCGAGCGGCGGACGGGUGAGUAAUGUAUGGGAAACUGCCUGAUGGAGGGGGAUAACUACUGGAAACGGUAUCUAAUACCCCAUACCAUCAGAUGUGCCCCGAUGGGAGUAGCUAGUAGGGGGGGUAACGGCUCACCUAGGCGACGAUCCCCAGCUGGUCUGAGAGGAUGACCAGCCACACGGGAACUGAGACAGGGUCCAGACUCCUACGGUAGGCAUCAGUGGGGAAUAUUGCACAAUGGGCGAAAGCCUGAUGCAGACAUGCCGCGUGUGUGAAGAAGGCCUUCGGGUUGUAAAGUACUUUCAGCGGGGAGGCGUUACGCGCAGAAGAAGCACCGGCUAACUCCGUGCCAGCAGCCGCGGUAAUUC